ACUGCUGGGACAGCUGUACUGCAAUUACAGUACCCAGCCACACUUUGUCUGUUGUCUACUCAGAAGGCACCCUCUCUUACUCUGUCCUCAGUGUCAGGAUCUCUUAAUGCCACAGCUUUGCACUGGCAGCUGCUUCCUGGAGAGAACCAUUAUAUACAGAAGGAGAAAGGGGAGGGAAAAAGUAGUUUAAAUUAUCAGCAAGUGAAGUGUAGUAAGUUAAUAAAAGCCGAUCACGAGUGCACUGCUCAGGAUUUCUAAAUAUAAACGCAGAAGACCCCAGACCUCACAGCAUUUAGUUUAAAGAGUAGUUACUCAAGUUCAGAGCAAUGAAUUGUACCAACAGGCUUUUGAUUAAAGGUGGGAAGGUGGUAAAUGAAGACUGUUCCCAGCUUGCUGAUGUGUUUAUUGAAGAUGGCAUCAUUCAAGAUGUUGGUCUGAAUCUAGUGGUGCCAGAUGGGGCUCAUGUUAUUAAUGCCAAGGACAAGCUAGUGAUUCCUGGUGGAAUAGACACCCACACACAUAUGGAACUGGAAUUCAUGGGAGCUCGAACAGUAGAUGACUUCUACACUGGAACAAAGGCUGCAUUGGCUGGGGGUACCACUAUGAUCUUGGACUUUGUGAUGCCACAGAAAGAAUGCUCUUUGCUACAGGCCUAUGACCAAUGGAGGAAUAAGGCAGAUCCAAAAGUCUGCUGUGAUUAUUCUUUUCAUGUCGCUGUAUCUUGGUGGAGUGAAAAGGUAAAAGAAGAAAUGAAAACCCUUGUAGAAGAAAAAGGUGUCAACUCCUUCAAGAUGUUCAUGGCUUAUAAAGACGUGUUUAUGCUGCAGGAUGCAGAACUGUAUGCAGUAUUUUCUCACUGCAAGAAUCUUGGGGCAGUUGCACAGGUGCAUGCAGAAAAUGGCGAUCUGAUAGUAGAGGGAGCCAAAAAGAUUCUUGCCUUGGGGAUUACUGGCCCUGAAGGCCAAGAACUAUGUCGACCUGAAGAAGUGGAAGCAGAAGCUACCCAAAGAGCAAUCACAAUAGCACAUCAAGCAAACUGUCCUCUUUAUAUUGUUCAUGUGAUGAGCAAGUCUGCAGCUAAUGUGAUAGCCAGAGCUCGUAGGCAAGGCAAGGUGGUAUUUGGUGAGCCAAUUGCUGCAAGUUUAGGCACAGAUGGGACAAACUACUGGCACCAUGACUGGAGUCAUGCAGCUGCAUAUGUUAUGGGGCCACCACUCAGACCAGAUCCGACAACACCUGCUUAUCUAAUGGAUCUACUUGCUAAUGAUGACCUCACAACAACUGGAACUGAUAACUGUACUUUCAACACUGAUCAGAAGGCCCUCGGAAAGGAUGACUUCACAAAAAUCCCUAAUGGAGUGAAUGGUGUAGAAGACAGAAUGUCUGUCAUAUGGGAAAAAGGAGUGCACAGUGGGAAAAUGGAUGAGAAUCGAUUUGUGGCUGUAACCAGUGCCAAUGCAGCAAAAAUAUUUAACCUCUAUCCAAGAAAGGGAAGAAUAGCCAAAGGUUCUGAUGCUGAUAUUGUCAUCUGGGACCCAACUGCAUCAAGGACCAUUUCAGCCAAAACCCACCACCAGGCUGUCAAAACUAACAUCUUUGAGGGAAUGGUUUGCCAUGGAGUACCAACUGUUACAAUUUCUAGAGGAAAAGUGGUUUAUAAAGAUGGAGUUUUGAAUGUUGAACAAGGACAUGGAAAAUACAUUCCUCGAACACCUUGUCCAGAAUAUGUCUAUAAAAGGAUCAAGCAAAGGGAUCAGGUUUGCAAGCCAAAGCCUGUUAGAAGAGAGCCGUAUAAAGGGGAUGUGGUAACAGUGAUUCCAGCCAAGAUUACAGCAAUCCUUUAAAUCACUGAGUCGUCAUUUCCUUUUUUUGGACAGAGCUCAGUCUGUCAGUGACCAAGAUGUAUUGUAAUGAGUGUAUAUUACAGGACUAUCUCCUUCAGCAAUGGCACUGUAUUAAAUGUGGGUCACAACCAUCUUCUAAAUGGUUCAAGAAACUUUCAAAACAAAUCAACCUGGAAUUGUAUCAAAAUUCAUUAGCACCUCUUGCAAUUACUAUGCACUGUCUUUAAAUAAUAUGUGUCAAAAUUUGCAUUACAAUUUCUUUGUUAAUUUCAAAUGCAGUGCUAUUAUUUUAUAUACACUAAUAAAAUGACUUCUAAAAAUAAUCUAAUAGAUGUGGCUUAUGUGGUACAACUGUACUGUCUGCCUGAAUUCAUAUUUUGCUCCAAAUACAAAAUGUAAUUUUAGAUAUUGCUUUUUAUUUUAGCUGUGACUCACAGUCACCAAUGAAAUGCUGGUAGGGCUAAAUUUCCAUCGAAGAAAUUCAUGAGUAGGCAUUUAAACAUAUCGCAUUCUCCUUACAGAACUAACAGAUAGAGCUAAAAUGUAUACCCUGAGUGGACUAAUAAUAUUUAAUGGUCUGUAUUUGAAACAAAUGCUUUUAAAAUGGAUAUUUUGUUUUACCCAAAAUUAUAAACAAGUUAUAAGUACUUUAUUUUGUACAUGCAAACGUAAGCCAGAAGCAAGAACAGUUAACUACUAAGACAAGAAAAAGAGAUGAAAACCUGUAAGUCAUGGCUCAACACUGCUAAUGAUAUGGUCACAUAAAGUUUCCAUUGCAGACCUUCAGUGAGCUAAUAGUGUUGUUGCCUCACAGCAAGAGGUUCUCCCGUUUGAUUCUCGGCUGGAGUGUGGGAGUGCCUUCUGGGUGGA